UACGUAGGGUGCGAGCGUUAAUCGGAAUUACUGGGCGUAAAGCGUGCGCAGGCGGUUCGUGAUGUCUGAUGUGAAAGCCCCGGGCUCAACCUGGGAAUUGCAUUGGAAACUAGCGGGCUGGAGUGUGGCAGAGGGGGGUGGAAUUCCGCGUGUAGCAGUGAAAUGCGUAGAUAUGCGGAGGAACACCGAUGGCGAAGGCAAUCCCCUGGGCCUGCACUGACGCUCAUGCACGAAAGCGUGGGGAGCAAACAGG
rnacentral:rRNA from 1 species